rnacentral:rRNA from 1 species
UUGCUAAUCUGUCAGCUAAGUGGCGCACGGGUGAGUAAUAUAUAGGUAACGUGCCUUCAAGAGGGGGAUAACAGAUGGAAACGUCUGCUAAAACCCCAUAUGCCUUUAAUGCGAAAGUAUGCAAGGGAAAUAUUUAUAGCUUGAAGAUCGGCCUGUACAGUAUCAGAUAGUUGGUGAGGUAAUGGCUCACCAAGUCAAUGACGCUUAACUGGUUUGAGAGGAUGAUCAGUCACACUGGAACUGAGACACGGUCCAGACUCCUACGGGAGGCAGCAGUGGGGAAUAUUGCACAAUGGGGGAAACCCUGAUGCAGCAACGCCGCGUGGAGGAUGACACAUUUCGGUGCGUAAACUCCUUUUAUAUAAGAAGAUAAUGACGGUAUUAUAUGAAUAAGCACCGGCUAACUCCGUGCCAGCAGCCGCGGUAAUACGGAGGGUGCAAGCGUUACUCGGAAUCACUGGGCGUAAAGAGCGUGUGGGCGGAUAGAUAAGUCAGAAGUGAAAUCCAAUAGCUUAACUAUUGAACUGCUUUUGAAACUGUCUAUCUAGAGUAUGGGAGAGGUAGAUGGAAUUUCUGGUGUAGGGGUAAAAUCCGUAGAGA